AUUGAACGCUGGCGGCAGGCCUAACACAUGCAAGUCGAGCGAGCGGCGGACGGGUGAGUAAUGUAUGGGGACUGCCCGAUAGAGGGGGAUAACUACUGGAAACGGUGGCUAAUACCGCAUACUGUCGGAUAACCCAUAUGGGAUUAGCUAGUAGGUAAGGUAAUGGCUUACCUAGGCGACGAUCCCUAGCUGGUCUGAGAGGAUGAUCAGCCAGAAGGGGACGUAGCCACGCACCAGCCUCCCGGGGAGGCGGCAGUGGGGAUUAUUGCACAGGGGGAGCAAGCCUGUGGCAGCCAUCCCGCUUGUAUGAAGAAGGCCCUAGGGUUGUAAAGUACUUUCAUUCGGGAGGCGUUACCGACAGAAUAAGCCCGGGCGAACCCCGUGCCAGCCGCGGCGGUAAUAC
rnacentral:rRNA from 1 species